UCCUCUCCUUCACACACACAGUCUCCAGUAAAGCGGUCACAGCUGAGGUUGGGCGAACAGGAGCAGGUCUGAGUGCAGAAGGGACCGAAGCGACCUGGACUACAGGCUGGAAAACACAAGUUACCAGGUGGCUAAUGUUAGCUUUGUCCAGAACGGGGCUAUCAGAGCCAGCCUCCUGGUCGUUUUACGGACACAGAUGGCAACAACGAGCUCAUCGGGCCCACCAGCAUCAGGUGCUGAGGACUUAAAGACAUACUUGGAGAGGCCUUCAGCAGUUGAAGGUGUGUGGAUACUGGAGGCUGGAGAUUUGGGGAUCUAGGAAAAGGCCAACAUGCCAUUAAAUGAAGGAGACAGGAAUGAAGGCUGUUGCAGUAAUCAAGACUCAAGAAACCCAGUGAUAGGUGCCAAAAACACGCCCACGUUUGAGGUUGAAAAGCUGCUGGAAAAACAGCCAAGGGUAGCAAGGAAAUCGUCUCCAACAGUGGUCUGCAGCUUGGCAGGCAUCUCACCUACAGUACAUGCCACCUACCAUCCCCUUCACCUCCUGAUGGCAAGUCAGCUUAUAUAUUCUUUACUUCAGAAAAGUUGAUUAAUAUAAA